CUUGUAUGACUUCAUUUGACCUCAGUCCUUCCUGCACAAUGAAACAUCCCUAUAUCACUCACGCUUUUAUCUCGCUCCAUUUUUUAAGGGCGUAACAAUAAUAUCAUCUCUACCAAGUCAUGACGAGCAAGAACUGCAAAAGAACCGGCCUGAUUUUACAAAGACCUCUGCAGAGGAUGAAAGAAAGAUCCCCAGAGCUGACCUGACACACAGCUCCCUCCUACAGGAGUUUGGCUUGGAUUCAGUGGAGUGCUCUGACCCCCCGCCUAACUUUGCUUUUUGGGCUUGAAUAUUCAGGUGUUCAGCUGGAGAGAUCUGCAGGCAAACUCGUGCAAUCACCAACCUCUGCCUGCAGGGCCCAGAGGUGGGUAGUAACAGUCUACUUUGGUACAUUACUGAACCUCAUGUGGUUUCAAGUAUCUGUACUUUACUGUUGAAAUCUUUUCCUCUUUUCUCUCUUUGUUUUGAAAGACUAGUUUUAUUAGCUAGGAGGGAAUUAUCAAUUAUUUCUAUUUUGCAUUAUUGCACCAUCUUUACCUACAAUACCAAUAUCAACCUUAAUGGAUGGAGCAGUAAUUUAUAUCUCAUAAAGAAGGUGAUGAGCUGUGAGAGACAUGAUGGAGUACAGAAGUAGAGAGCUUGCAACAACAUCAGUACAACUUAUUAGAGCUGAAUUAUUGUUCAUUUUAUCUCUUCGUUACCCAGCCUGACUCUGAUUGGUCAAAACUUCAAAGCAACAGUGAUUAAAUCCAAGUAGAAGUCAACUUGAUCACAUGACAAAUCAAACCAAUACAUCUCCAAGCUGAAGU
rnacentral:lncRNA from 1 species